rnacentral:rRNA from 1 species
CCACGCCGUAAACGAUGAUGACUAGCUGUCGGGGCUCAUGGAGUUUCGGUGGCGCAGCUAACGCGUUAAGUCAUCCGCCUGGGGAGUACGGCCGCAAGGUUAAAACUCAAAGAAAUUGACGGGGGCCUGCACAAGCGGUGGAGCAUGUGGUUUAAUUCGAAGCAACGCGCAGAACCUUACCAGCGUUUGACAUGGUAGGACGGUUUCCAGAGAUGGAUUCCUUCCCUUACGGGACCUACACACAGGUGCUGCAUGGCUGU